CUGAGAUAUAAAAUUUUAAAUACCAACGAAUGGCGGCUGUGGCGCAAAGUAUCAUGGGAGGAUCUGGUUUGAACGAGACACGAGGAGUUAUACAGGGUUAUUGUUUCGACAGGUUAGAAGUAGUCAUUUGGUAUUAUAUGGUUGCUGAUUUUUGCCAUUUUGAAAUAAAUAAACUGUUGUGGUAUGAGUCGUUCAUAUCUUGUUGGAUUUGUCAAGAAGAUGCUGAGUGAAAGGUGAUAACUUUGGUUUUCAUAAUGCAUACUGGAAAAUCUGAUUCCACAGCAUGAUGCCACAUCAGUUAGACCUUCAUGCUAGACUGAUCAGAUUUAAAUUUAAUGGUGAGAAAAUACAAGUUUGGAGACAACUUGACUGGAAUUGGCUAACCUGAUACUUAUCUUGAAAUAUACCAAUUGUCUUUCUGAGGAUGUAGAGCUAAAGCGGAGCUCAUCUAGAAUCAUGCUUCUCGUGUUUUUAAGGAUGUGAAGAACAAGCUGACAAGACUGUUUUGAUGUCUGAAACUUCAUUGCUCUUGAGGUGACACUUGUUAUAUUUUACCAACAUUUCAGUAACUGGUAAUUGUGUUAUCAUGGAAGAUGUCAACAGUUCAUUGCAUUUGUUUUACAGAACAAUGAAACUGUAUAGUGUAAUGCACAAAAGCAAUCCAAAGAAAACUGUGCUAAUUUUAUACACUGUAUUGUGAUUUUUAAGAAACUGUAUUUUUAAUUUAUUUUUAAAGCAUUUUAAACAAUAAAUAUCGACAAUACUUGAUUAAUUUAAUAAAUGUUUUUGAAUGCACUGAACAAGCAGUUUCCAAACUAUGUGACCAGGGGGAAAGCAUGACAGUCAGCAGCACCCUAUCACUGUCACUCUUAUAAAUUCACCCACAGCUUGAAAAUGUAAGGAAUUUUGUGAUAUCACAUGGAUUCAAACAUAGCUUUCCAACUCACACCCAACAUGUAGAAAAAUAAUAUUUGGAUGUUUUAUGGGCUGUAAUAUACAUACUUGAUCAUAUGUUGUAAACAUUAUAUAUAUACUUCGUGAUGGAUAAUGCCUAUUCUAAAUAUCAGUAUCAUUAAUGAAACUAUAAUAAAUGAUAGGUAGUACUCACAGAUAUAAACAUCAUUACAGAUUAAUUACACAUAAAAAACUGAACACAGUGUUUUAUGAUCAGACAAUACAAGUGUUAUAUGAUGUACAAACUUUUCACAGCUGCUUCAAAAAGAGAUAAGCUCAACUACGUCAUCUAACCACAUGCUUAUUUAUAAAUAUUUUGGACACUAAAGUCGAUGACAGUUCAAGUACUUUCAGUGAAGAUGCAUGGUACUUUAAAGCUGUUUAAUGAACAUGCAUACUGACACAUUUUGCUUUAGUUUCAAAAGCUAAUAGUAAAUUUGAUGGUAAUCUGUCACUGUCGGUAGUAGAAACACUUGUUGUAUGCCAUAAAACCCUUUAAUAGUGCUUAAAGCUCAUUAUCAAUUUGUACUUAACCAAAUGGUCAUUAGUCGCAAAGCUUAUGUAUUAACAUAUCAUCUUAGCCAUUUCUCAACCUUUUUGAUGUCACUGACUGACUUGCUGCCUUUUUAAACUGUUGCAGACUGGUUGUACUGCAAGUACAACAAAAAAAAAAAAUUAUGACUUACAUAAGAAUAUUCUGUAAAUUUUCUUUUCAUGAAAUAUCAUGAACCAUUGGUUGAGAAACACCAA
rnacentral:lncRNA from 1 species